rnacentral:rRNA from 1 species
CUUCCUACGGGACGCAGCAGGCGAGAAUCAUUCACAAUGGGGGAAACCCUGAUGGUGCGACGCCGCGUGGGGGAAUGAAGGUCUUCGGAUUGUAAACCCCUGUCAUGUGGGAGCAAAUUAAAAAGAUAGUUCCACAAGAGGAAGAGACGGCUAACUCUGUGCCAGCAGCCGCGGUAAUACAGAGGUCUCAAGCGUUGUUCGGAAUCACUGGGCGUAAAGCGUGCGUAGGCUGUUUCGUAAUUCGUGUGUGAAAGGCGCGGGCUCAACCCGCGACCGGCACAUGAUACUGCGAGACUAGAGUAAUG